rnacentral:rRNA from 1 species
GGCCCUACGGGGCGCAGCAGGCGCGAAAACUUUACAAUGCGGGCAACAGCGAUAAGGGAACCUCGAGUGCCAGGUUACAAAUCUGGCUGUCGUGAUGCCUAAAAAGCAUUAUAUAGCAAGGGCCGGGCAAGACCGGUGCCAGCCGCCGCGGUAACACUGGCGGCUCGAGUGGUAACCGUUAUUAUUGGGUCUAAAGGGUCUGUAGCCGGCCGGAUAAGUCUCUUGGGAAAUCUGGCAGCUCAACUGUCAGGCUUUCAGGGGAUACUGUCUGGCUCGAGGCCGGGAGAGGUGAGAGGUACUUCAGGGGUAGGGGUGAAAUCUUGUAAUCCUUGAAGGACCACCAGUGGCGAAGGCGUCUCACCAGAACGGACCUGACGGCAAGGGACGAAAGCUAGGGGCACGAACCGGAUUAGAUACCCGGGUAGUCCUAGCCGUAAACGAUACUCGCUAGGUGUCGGCCACGGUGCGACCGUUGUCGGUGCCGUAGGGAAGCCGUGAAGCGAGCCACCUGGGAAGUACGGCCGCAAGGCUGAAACUUAAAGGAAUUGGCGGGGGAGCACCACAACGGGUGGAGCUUGCGGUUUAAUUGGAUUCAACGCCGGAAAUCUUA